CAGUCAAACUUUUCUUUAUCAGGAAAUACGAAAACAUCCUCAUAUUCUACAUGUUCCUGUUAAAAACCCCAGAAAAUGGAGGAUAAAAGGAAGUUAAAGUUAAACACCUGCUGACGAAGAGCAGCUACAACCUGCAGACGCUGAAGAGACGAGUUUAUCAGUUUCAGUAGUUUGAGCUGAGGAAACGUCAGCCCGGAGGAUGAAGAGGAUGAAGAGACGGAGAGACUCGCAGUCGUCCGGAGAUCCAGCCGGCAGCUCCAGCUCCAGCGAUCUUCCUGACAGUUUGCAGUCCAGGGAUACUGAACCUGCAGCUCCCAGCAUCCUGUCUCUGAAGAGUGAUUCAUCCAUGUACCAACCACUCAACUUUAGAGGGGAAGAGACGGAA